CCUACGGGCGGCAGCAGUGGGGAAUAUUGGACAAUGGGGGCAACCCUGAUCCAGCCAUGCCGCGUGUGUGAAGAAGGCCCUCGGGUUGUAAAGCACUUUCAGUGAGGAAGAACGCCUGGUGGUUAAUACCCAUCAGGAAAGACAUCACUCACAGAUGAAGCACCGGCUAACUCCGUGCCAGCAGCCGCGGUAAUACGGAGGGUGCGAGCGUUAAUCGGAAUUACUGGGCGUAAAGCGCGCGUAGGUGGCUUGAUAAGCCGGUUGUGAAAGCCCCGGGCUCAACCUGGGAACGGCAUCCGGAACUGUCAAGCUAGAGUGCAGGAGAGGAAGGUAGAAUUCCCGGUGUAGCGGUGAAAUGCGUAGAGAUCGGGAGGAAUACCAGUGGCGAAGGCGGCCUUCUGGACUGACACUGACACUGAGGUGCGAAAGCGUGGGUAGCAAACAGGAUUAGAUACCCUGGUAGUC
rnacentral:rRNA from 1 species